AACGCAAAUUGCACUUCUUGGUAUCCCGAGGAGUAUGCUUGCUUGAGGGUUGGUCUACAAAAAAAUCGUAAAUUUUUUUACGGAUCUGGGUUUUCCGAGUUUUCUCGACUUCGGUUGCCUAAAAUUUAUCUUGAUAAUGAGGUAUCAAUUAGAAAUGUACUAUCUUACACGUUGUGAGUUCAUUGAUAAUUAUACCAGUUGUUACGUCGCGUUAUUCAUCUAGUACCUUUGAUUAGGUGAAAUAAUUCAAUCUUUUUAAUCCUACCUCAAGUCAAGUAAGGAUACCCGCUGAACUUAA
rnacentral:misc_RNA from 1 species